rnacentral:tRNA from 1 species
GGGGGUGUAGCUCAGCUGGGAGAGUGCUUGCAUGGCAUGCAAGAGGUCAGGGGUUCGAUCCCCCUCACCUCCACCA